CUGGAGUGGUUCUCAGUUUCAGGUAACUUUAUUUGUACCCAUAGGUAAAUUUGUUGCGUAGUUAAAAAGUGCAGGGC